GGCCGCGGGAAUUCAAUUUGCCACCAGCCGCGGUAAUACAGGAGGGUGCGAGCGUUAAUCGGAUUUACUGGGCGUAAAGCGUGCGUAGGCGGCUUUUUAAGUCGGAUGUGAAAUCCCCGAGCUUAACUUGGGAAUUGCAUUCGAUACUGGGAAGCUAGAGUAUGGGAGAGGAUGGUAGAAUUCCAGGUGUAGCCGGUGAAAUGCGUAAAGAUCUGGAGGAAUACCGAUGGCGAAGGCAGCCAUCUGGCCUAAUACUAACAGCUGAGGUACGAAAGCAUGGGGAGCAAACAGGAUUAGAAACCCUGGGAGUCCAAUCCACUAAGUGAAUUCCCGGCCCCCU
rnacentral:rRNA from 1 species